rnacentral:rRNA from 1 species
CCUACGGGCGGCAGCAGUGGGGAAUAUUGGACAAUGGGCGAAAGCCUGAUCCAGCCAUGCCGCGUGUGUGAAGAAGGCCUUCGGGUUGUAAAGCACUUUCAGUGGGGAAGAAAGCCUUGGGGCUAAUACCCUCGAGGAAGGACAUCACCCACAGAAGAAGCACCGGCUAACUCCGUGCCAGCAGCCGCGGUAAUACGGAGGGUGCGAGCGUUAAUCGGAAUUACUGGGCGUAAAGCGCGCGUAGGCGGUCUGAUAAGCCGGUUGUGAAAGCCCCGGGCUCAACCUGGGAACGGCAUCCGGAACUGUCAGGCUAGAGUGCAGGGGAGGAAGGUAGAAUUCCCGGUGUAGCGGUGAAAUGCGUAGAGAUCGGGAGGAAUACCAGUGGCGAAGGCGGCCUUCUGGACUGACACUGACGCUGAGGUGCGAAAGCGUGGGUAGCAAACAGGAUUAGAUACCCUAGUAGUC